rnacentral:lncRNA from 1 species
UCUCGACCACCCUCGAUUGCAGCAGCAACAUCAUAAAUUGCCUUCUUUAUUACUUCAUACUCUUCAUCAAAUCUUAAACCGUUUCUUUUCUUGUCUUUUGAUGAUAUUGCAGAUAAGGAAGGUGCUUGGGAUUCUCCUUCAAAUGAAAUUGCUGGUUGAGUGGUAUCAUUGAUUGUAUUAUUAAAUUCCUCCAGAAUAAGUUCAUUUUGAGACAUCAUAUGAUCAAUAUUGUCAAUGUUGUCCAUAAGGUCUACACUUUCUGACCUAGCCCAUCAGCAUGCUCUCUUCUCUGCAGUUUCAAGUUCUAACAAUUGAUCCUGCUGCUUUAU